rnacentral:rRNA from 1 species
GACAGAGGGUGCGAACGUUGUUCGGAAUUACUGGGCGUAAAGCGCGUGUAGGCGGCUUGGCAAGUCGGAUGUGAAAGCCCGGGGCUCAACCCCGGAAGUGCACUCGAAACUGCUGAGCUGGAGUCCCGGAGAGGAAGGCGGAAUUCUCGGUGUAGAGGUGAAAUUCGUAGAUAUCGAGAGGAACACCUGUGGCGAAGGCGGCCUUCUGGACGGUGACUGACGCUGAGACGCGAAAGCGUGGGGAGCAAACAGG